AUUGAACGCUGGCGGCAGGCCUAACACAUGCAAGUCGAGCGAGCGGCGGACGGGUGAGUAAUGUAUGGGGACUGCCCGAUAGAGGGGGAUAACUACUGGAAACGGUGGCUAAUACCCCAUACUGUCGGAUAACCCAUAUGGGAUUAGCUAGUAGGUAAGGUAAUGUCUUACCUAGGCGACGAUCCCUCGCUGGUCUGUGAGGAUGAUCAGCCACACUGGGACUGAGACAAGGCCCAGACGCCUACGGAGGCAGCAGGGGGGAAUAUUGCACAAUGGGCGCAAGCCUGAUGCAGCCAUGCCGCGUGUAUGAAGAAGGCCCUAGGGUUGUAAAGUAUUUGCAGUCGGGAGGCGUUACCGACAGAAGAAGCACCGGCUAACUCCGUGCCAGCAGCCGCGGUAAUAC
rnacentral:rRNA from 1 species